GGGGUAGGGGCAGUGGUGUCAGAACUGGGUCAUUGUCUCCUGACUGCAGUCUACCUGACACAUUGAUUUGUUAAUCCUGUUCAACGGGCAGAAACAAUGGCAAGAGGUUAAUCCCGGCAAAGGGCCGGUUUGUAGUCAAUCUGGAGAUUCUCAGCCACUGCACAGAGCAAAGCAAGAGAAAAGGGAAUUCCACUCUGGCAGGGCUACUCCAGCUGUAACAGUGGGAGAAGAACACAGGCUCUAUCUAACCCAGAUGUGCCUUCUGCUGCUAAGCGAUGGAAAGUCCUGCUCACUGAGGAACAUGAGCUUUUUGUUUUUCAAAAGCCACACCUGUCAGGUUGUUAGCUUGCAUUGGACCUCACACAUACUCUCUAAUUUGGGGUGAUU